GUGAAUUCAUCUCCGGGGGUAGAGCACUGUUUCGGCAAGGGGGUCAUCCCGACUUACCAACCCGAUGCAAACUGCGAAUACCGGAGAAUGUUAUCACGGGAGACACACGGCGGGUGCUAACGUCCGUCGUGAAGAGGGAAACAACCCAGACCGCCAGCUAAGGUCCCAAAGUCAUGGUUAAGUGGGAAACGAUGUGGGAAGGCCCAGACAGCCAGGAUGUUGGCUUAGAAGCAGCCAUCAUUUAAAGAAAGCGUAAUAGCUCACUGGUCGAGUCGGCCUGCGCGGAAGAUGUAACGGGGCUAAACCAUGCACCGAAGCUGCGGCAGCGACGCUUAUGCGUUGUUGGGUAGGGGAGCGUUCUGUAAGCCUGCGAAGGUGUACUGUGAGGUAUGCUGGAGGUAUCAGAAGUGCGAAUGCUGACAUAAGUAACGAUAAAGCGGGUGAAAAGCCCGCUCGCCGGAAGACCAAGGGUUCCUGUCCAACGUUAAUCGGGGCA
rnacentral:rRNA from 1 species